UACGUAGGGUGCAAGCGUUAUCCGGAUUCACUGGGUUUAAAGGGUGCGUAGGUGGAGUGGUAAGUCAGUGGUGAAAUCUCCAAGCUUAACUUGGAAACUGCCGUUGAUACUAUCAUUCUUGAAUAUCGUGGAGGUAAGCGGAAUAUGUCAUGUAGCGGUGAAAUGCUUAGAUAUGACAUAGAACACCGAUUGCGAAGGCAGCUUGCUACACAGUUAUUGACGCUGAGGCACGAAAGCGUGGGGAUCAAACAGG
rnacentral:rRNA from 1 species